rnacentral:miRNA from 1 species
ACCGUGCAAAGGUAGCAUA